rnacentral:rRNA from 1 species
AGAACGAACGCUGGCGGCAUGCCUAAUACAUGCAAGUCGAACGAACUCUUCGGAGUUAGUGGCGCACGGGUGCGUAACGCGUGGGAAUCUGCCCCUUGGUUCGGAAUAACAGUUGGAAACGACUGCUAAUACCGGAUGAUGACGAAAGUCCAAAGAUUUAUCGCCAAGGGAUGAGCCCGCGUAGGAUUAGCUAGUUGGUGAGGUAAAGGCUCACCAAGGCAACGAUCCUUAGCUGGUCUGAGAGGAUGAUCAGCCACACUGGGACUGAGACACGGCCCAGACUCCUACGGGAGGCAGCAGUGGGGAAUAUUGGACAAUGGGCGCAAGCCUGAUCCAGCCAUACCGCGUGGGUGAAG